rnacentral:lncRNA from 1 species
AGUUUGCAUCUUUGGUAACACUUCCUCUUUACCAACAGCAGGCUCACAGGCAUGCAAGAUGGUGCAUACGUCAUUUUUCUCCAGAAAAUGUUCCGCAUUAACGAGGAUCACUGGUGCAUAUUCAAACACCAUUUUCUUGCACUGCAGAACAUCACGAGGCACAAAGAAAAAACCGGCAAGACAAAGAAAGAAAAGAAACAUCAGUACAGUUAUCAGACGACCUUUUAUCCUUCCA